AUGCCAGCCGACGUGCUGCCGGGAGCACGCAACUUGUUCGACGGAAUGUCGACCUCCGGCGACGACGACUACAUGCAGAACAUCAUCUUCGAGGGUGGUGUGUCGGCCGCUAGCUACGAUCCCGACGAGACACAAAGCCAGGAUGGCCGAGAGGCGUUCACGCCGUCCACCUUUGAUCAAGAUCAGGCGGCCUUCAUGUAUGAUCAGGUCGGCCUGGACCUGGACGGCUUCCCACUCGACCACGAGUUUCCAAAGGACUACGGGCAAGAGGAAGAGGACGAGUGCGACAUCGAAGAGGAGCCAUUGUUCGAGGACGAGCUCGCCAACCAAACCCCCGGGGCGAAGCCGAAGCGCAAGAGCAAGGGAUCAAGGCAUACACGGCAGUCGAGGACAAGCUUCUUUGUGAGUGUUGGAGAGACAUUGGGCAAGACCCCAAGACGGACGCCGAACAAAAGCAUUCAACUUUUUGGAUUCGUGUCCACCGUGAGUUCCAUGAGCACAAGAAGUUUCUGCCGUAUAAAAUAG
rnacentral:rRNA from 1 species